AGUUAGGGUAUGUUUAGGUUAAUUCAUCAAUAACACUGCUGAUUCCUUUAUUGCGUUGGUCACGAUUAUUAAAAGACAUAUGCUGUGCCCAAAAAUAAAGUCUGUCUCGAAAUAAGUAGUCUAUAGCUAUUUCCAUAGUCCUCAGUAACUCCGUUUUUUUUUUUUUUUUUACUGUAAACCUCGCCAAUAAUUUCAGAUAAAAGGACUGCAUCCCCCUCAGGUCAAGGCUACUUGUGCGCCACGUGAGCCUAGUCACAACACCACGGCCUUUCCAUUAUGCUCCCAUCUCUGCUUGGUGUCUGUUCCUUCAUUGAUUCUUACCAGUAAAACUACUUAUAUAUUUAGAAAGAAAAUCUCGCCGAUAAUUUCAGAUAGGAGGAAUGCAUUGUUCCGAGAUUUAAGGUUGUUGUAUGCCAUGAGUAAAGCUUCCUCUUAACAACGCUCUCCGGGCUUCUAAUAAUAUCCGAUGCUUGCUGCCUGCUCCUGGAUUCACUUACCAGAAAGUUAUUCAUUUACAAUGAAAACCGCGUCCGUAAUUCUAAAGGAGAGGAUAGCUUCACUGUGAGAUUAACCUUUGUCAUUGUAAGAGCUAUGUUUCACUUGACAUUAGGCAGUAUCAUGAUAAUUUGCAAUAGUGAGGUGACUAUCAGAGGUAUAAGUGCCCCCACACAUGCGCUAGCCUCGUUCCGUGCCGCCUUGCCUAGCUAGCCAUUGGAAACUUGCUGACAAUAUUGAGAUUGACUUUAGAUGGGCAAAAUGAUGAAUUGCACAUGAUAUAUAAAUGUUUUUUUUCUUCUUUUUUUUUUAGAUGCAACAUUAUGUACGAGGCUAGUCAUUCCGGUGAGGCCUGGGGUGGAGGCUACCUUCGUUUAUUAUAAUAUAAACCUCGUGUUUCUUACUUUUACACUAUUCAAAAAGUUUUGUGGGGAGAAGUUAUCCUAAUUACGAAGUUAGUUGAUAAUUAAAACGAGCUAAUGGACUGAUAAUUAGUUCUUUAAUGAGGGUAGCAAGGCCCGCUGUAUUCUGUAACAUUAGAUUCUGUAUCACAAAGGCUAGCAUUAACAACAUAUUCACAUAAUGUAAAAUAAUCUAAGAUAUACCUACUCUAUAGCGGAACAUAGAACAUGGCCACGUGCGUAGGAUACGUGAUGGAGAACCAGUGGUAGGUGGAGGGAGGCGGAAAGCAGGUAGGCAGGAAGGGAGGGGGGGGAUAUGAGUGACGUGUGGAUAACAAGUAGUUAGCCGACCGAUUGUUCCAUGCCCGUGUUCGAAACUAUGACAAGGAAAGGAAUCGAACGCUGUAUAUCAUUUAUUUCCUAUCAUUAUCCUCAUCUUUUUCUUAGCGCAGAGAUGCAUGUCAAUCCCCUCAAAUUUACCUUGAUCUAAUGCCGUAGUGCAGAUAUGAUCGCGUGAGGUAGGAGUGAGUGAGCUAAAGGAGCAGCAACACAUUCGAAGAGAGCCCGAGGCAAAGUUACAUCAGGCACAGAAACAUUCAGUCUAUUUGUAUGCAAGCGGCGGGCGAGAGCGGUACUUUGUGCUUGCGUGCGUGGCGUCGCGGAUAGUGAAGUGAUAAGUGUGCGUUAAUUUAUUGUUCCUUUUCUGCGUUUUCUUCGCGGUGGGCUUGGUGAGUACCCGUAUCACAGGUCUCAUCGUGGGACAGGUCGCGCUGGAGCACCCCUUCGAGAAAAGUAAAGUGAAGAUACUGUUUCCUAGGUGUUAGGGCGAUAGGCUGGGCGGCUAAUCUUUAUUGCCUUUCAGGUACAAACUAAUUUUAUAUUUUUUUCAGAUACAUGCUAAUGAAUUAUCUAGCCUAUUUCCCAGAAAAGUAAUGUCCUUGUUAGUAUACUGUGGCAGCGACCAGAUGGAACCUCAUGUCGGCGAAGGAGGACGGUGCUGGUGGCGGGCGUGCUGCUUUCAUAUGGUAAGUGAAUGGUGGUUUUAUACAUGAUUAUACGGUGUUGCUAUUUCCAUACUGAACUAAGUUGCAUAUCACGCUUUUUUUCAGGGUUGCGUGGGAGAUGCAAUCACUCGUCUUGACUGUGCUGGUGCGUGUCCUGAAGAAAUGAUCGCAAAGACUCUAGAUAAAAAUUACACCGAGUCACACAGGUGUACGCGUAAAAGAAGAUAUUCGAAUGAAAGUCGGGAAAUCUCACAGCGUUCUGACAAUGGGAAUGGUGAGAAAAUGGUUCUAUCUUGCCUCUCAAGUAAAACGAACCUUUUCUUAAGGUGAAGCAGGUAAGACUUUUUUUUUUUUCACAGGUCAGAUUAAUUAUUUUUCUUGAAGGUCAAACUAAUCUCUUCUAAUUUCUCUUGCAGAUCAAACUAAUCUAUCUCUCGCAGAUCAAACUAAUCUAUUUCUCGCAGAUCAAACUAAUCUAUCUCUCUUGCAGAUCAAAGUAAUCUAUCUCUCUUGCAGGUCAAACUAAUCUACCUCUCUUGCAGAUCAAACUAAUCUAUCUCUCUUCCAGGUCAAACUAAUUAUUUUUCUUGAAGGUCAAACUAAGGUCAAACUAAUCUAUAUCUCUCUUGCAGGUCGAACUAGUCAAUCUCUCUUGCAGGUCAAACUAAUCUAUCUCUCUUGCAGGUCAAACUAAUCUAUCUCUCUUGCAGGUUGAACUAAUCUAUCUCUCUUGCAGGUUGAACUAAUCUAUCUCUCUUGCAGGUCGAACUAAUCUGUCUCUCUUGCAGGUCGAACUAAGAACUAAUCUAUCUCUCUUGCAGGUCGAACUAAUCUAUCUCUCUUGCAGGUCGAACUAAUCUAAUAUCUCUUGCAGGUCGAACUAAUCUAAUAUCUCUUGCAGGUCGAACUAAUCUAUCUCUCUUGCAGGUCGAACUAAUCUAUCUCUCUUGCAGGUCAAACUAAUCUAUAUCUCUUGCAGGUCAAACUAAUCUAUAUCUCUUGCAGGUCAAACUAAUCUAUAUCUCUUGCAGGUCAAACUAAUCUAUAUCUCUUGCAGGUCAAACUAAUGUACUUCUCUUGCAGGUCAAACUAAUGUACUUCUCUUGCAGAUCAAACUAAUGUACUUCUCUUGCAGAUCAAACUAAUGUACUUCUCUUGCAGAUCAAACUAAUCUGUCUUUCUUGCAGGUCAAACUAAUCUAUCUCUUGCAGGUCAAACUAAUCUAUCUUUCUUGCAGGUCAAACUAAUCUCUCUCUCUCUCUCUCUCUCUCUCUCUCUCUCUCUCUCAGGUCAAACUAAUCUAUCUCCCUGUCUUUCAGGCCAAACUAAUCUAUCUCCUCUUACAGGUAAAAUUGAUAUUUUUAUCACUACUCUUACUCUAAAGUUUCUUCCCUCUACUCAGGGUUAACCCUACUACCCAUGGCAUUACCAGGCAACAAUGAGCAGCUUGCCACUGUGAUACCCCCCCCUUGAGGGGUUAAUACUCACUUCGGUGAGGGGGACCUGGAGACACAAACACCUAUAUACAUAUAAAGACAGUCACUCGUUUUCUCUCUUCUACAUUUCUCACCCACACACAUACACAUAAAAAGACUCUCGUUCUCUAUCUUAUCUAUUUUUUUUCCUAUCUUACAUGCAAAUAAAAAGACUCUAGAGCGUUCUCUAUCUUCUCUUGUCUAUUUUUUUUCCUAUCUUUCUAUAUUAUCUUUCUACCUUCUUUCUAUAUUAUCUAUAUUAUCUAUCUUCUCUGUUAAUAUUCGGUCUCAUUAGUGUUCUUGAUUUAAUAUCCUGUUCUCUUAUUACAGUAAGAUCAGCAACGGUUAGCAAAGAUUCAGCUGGGGAAGAGCAAGAGAGCUGCAAACGGGAGAGGAAAGCAUAAUGAGGCUAGUGAAGCAGAUGGCGGAUGAAGAUUGUGUUCCACUUGCGUCCUAUGAACAUGUAAUGUUAAGUUUUGUCAUUAUUGUAAAUCAUACCGCUUAAAAAUAAAAUGUGUAGCUG